AGGAAUCAAGCCCCACAACGGGUUACUAUAGGCGAUGAUGACGUAGUAGAGUUAGGCCCAGAGGAAAACCAGUCAGGGUAGCUAUUUUUACGAAAAACUCCGAAUCUGAUCAAACGAGCCAUUGGCGAUAUUCUCAAGUAUUAUAACCUGUGUCGGCAUUCAGCCAAUUGGCGAAUAUUUUUGAUUUGAAUUUGUAAACAACCGUGUGUGUUCUGGUGUCAACGUUCUUCGUAAAAUUUAUAUUUAUUCAACAAAUGUUGUAAAUGUCAGCAUUAAUUUAAUUCUUAGUGUUAUGGAUAAUUGCCAAUGAGUGCUGUGUACCAAACUGCAGAGGAUUUUACAAAGUUGAUGGUACAAAAGUAUUAAAUUUUGGAUUUCCCAAUACGUAAGAAAUGGCUUGCCGCCAUGCCAAGAGAUUUUGAAGUUGCAAAGAAUUCUAAAGUAUGUGAGAUGCAUUUCAAGGAAAAUGACAUUA
rnacentral:lncRNA from 1 species